AAUAACAGUCUCCUUUUAUUUAGUUAGUUUCCUCGGCAGGUUUGGCAGCCCGCUUGUCUCUGCCCCCAGCCCCCACCCGCGGGUAACCUUGGAGGCGCCCUCGGAGUGAGUGUGUGCGCGGCCCCAGAUCUGGACACAGACUUGCUAAAUUAAGGUUCCAGUGAAAUGUUUUGUCAUUUGCUCUAGAAACAUUGUGCGAGCUUCAGGUGUUAGGAUGUGGGUUUGGAAUUUUCUGUGGUGUCUUUAAUCCUCAAAGACAUUAAAUAACAGCGUGGUUACACCCCCCGGCAAGCGAGCAAAGGUUAUCCUUGCCACCACAGCACCUGCAGAAGCACAGUGGAACUCACAUAUUUUGCUUCCUGAGUUCUAAAAUGGCUUCUGAA
rnacentral:lncRNA from 1 species